UUGCUUUAGGGAUGAUUAGUCUCUGAAAUUCAAUUAUUUCAUCCAUCCAUCACUUUGUCAGCAUUUCUCUUUCCAAUGAUUCGCUGGCCAUGCAGGGGUGGAACAAUU
rnacentral:snoRNA from 1 species